CCUACGGGAGGCUGCAGUGGGGAAUAUUGCACAAUGAGGGAAACCCUGAUGCAGCAACGCCGCGUGAGUGAGGAAGUAUUUCGGUAUGUAAAGCUCUAUCAGCAGGGAAUAGAAAAGAAGGUACCUGAAAAAGAAGCCCCGGCUAACUACGUGCCAGCAGCCGCGGUAAUACGUAGGGGGCAAGCGUUAGUCGGAAUUACUGGGUGUAAAGGCUGCGUAGACGGAAAGGCAAGUCAGAGGUGAAAGCCCAGGGCUCAACCAUGGGACUGCUUUUGAAACUGUCAAACUAGAGUUAGAGAGAGGUAAGAGGAAUUCCUAGUGUAGCGGUGAAAUGCGUAGAUAUUAGGAGGAACACCAGUGGCGAAGGCAUCUUACUGGGCCGAAACUGACGUUGAGGCACGAAAGCGUGGGGAGCAAACAGGAUUAGAUACCCGGGUAGUC
rnacentral:rRNA from 1 species